AGGACAGCAUUAAGCCUGAGCUAAUGGACUUUGCCAGGGAGCAAGGACUCCCUGAGGCGCAAGAGGACUUCUGACCUGGACUGACCUCUCAGGCUAUGAGAGUUUCCUCAGUAUCCCGGGUACCCAGCACGGCGACCAGCACAGUGAAGACACCAACUAACGUUCUUUGGCAGAACUGAAUGAACGGCUGUGUGAAUGAGUUUGCAGGGCAGACUGCCUGAGAGCCUCCCCACCAGCCACCGAGCCCAUAACGCUCGCAAGCCGUUUCCUGAUGAGUGUUUUCCCGUUUUAUGGAUCUUGGUCUGUCUCUAGAAGCCUAUGUCCCCUUCUGGUAUCAGGGCACAUCUGGUUGUUGGUGCAUGAUGCUUAGUUAGAAACUCUUAAAACAGCAUGAAAUUGUUAGCACGUUG